UAUCAUCUAAAACUGCUGCUGAAAACCCAACAAAGGUUUUGCAUUUAAAAAGUAUAAACCAUGUCACUUUGGGAUAGAAGUGAUCAAAUCACUACCCAUAAAAAUUUUUAUGUGUCAUUGACCUAAUUUUAUGUCAAACUCCAUGUCAUCCAACAUUCCUAGAGACACAAGGUUUCUUUCUAAUUCAGGAACAAAAUAUGGCCCCCUUUAACAAUAAAAUUCUACCAUUUUCUAAGAGCAGUUUUUUGGUUCAAUACCUUUCACUUUGCAGGUCAUGUUGUUUCCCAUGAUAACUUUGCCCCCUUUAGUUUGUUCAAUGUCCAAAAAAUGGUUUUUAUUAUAACACAUGUGGAAAGAACAACCCGAAUCAAAAAUUCAUUCUUGAUUUAGGUUCCUUUCAACAUUUACAAGAACAAGGCCGUUAUCAAAUUUUUGCUUAUCAUAGGACAAAAAAGCAUUACCCUCAUUUAAUUUCUUUCCUUUCAAAUCAUUUUGCUUCUUGUAGCAAUCUUGUGCAAACUGACCCAACUUACCAUAGUAAUAACAUUUCUUUCCAUUUGCCUUAGUUUUUUUAUCUCAUUUUGUCAUUGUUUCUUUUCUUAUGGUCAUUUUGAAAUUUUGAAUGAAAAUUAGAUUUACCAACAUUUUUGCCUUUUAUCAAAAGAUUUUCUCCCCUUUGUUGGUUGAUAGAAUCUGAUUUUAAUUCAAAAAUUCUAUUUCUUAAGGCAUUUAUAAUGGUUUCUAUGGUAAGCUUGUCUCUUCCAUAUUCUAAGGCAUUUUUAAGGUCUUUAUGCCUAUCACUAAUGGAGUUUAACAAUACCACAACCAGCUGAUCUUCUGAUAAUUUCUCAUCACAGUUGGCAAAGUCCUAUGUCAAUUUUGUAAAUCUAUCCAAGUUCUCAUCUAAGUCCACAGAAGGAUCCAUUUUGAAAGAAAAGAAUUGUUUUAAUAAAAAAAAUUUGUUUGGAACAAUUUUUGGCUCAUAUUUGGCUUUCAAUUUAGUCCACAACUCUUCAGCAAUUUUAGUUUCACCUAUAGACCUGAUCACAUUGUCUAAAAGGUACAAGAAAAUAGUACUCAGUGCUAUUUCUUCUAAAUCAAUUCUUUUUGUAACAGACAUUUCAGCAGGCCAAGAAUUAUCUAAGGCUUUAUCACAUUUCAUUUGCAUCAAGAUAGCCCUCAUUUUCUGGCUCCACAUAUUAAAGUCCCCCCUCCCAUCACACAAGGUCACUUCAAACUUAGCAGUAGACAUGACAAGAUUCACCAAGAUAGUUCACUGAACACAAGUUUGAGUUCAAGAACACACAUGGACAUAUAACAAGAAUACUGCAGGCAGUCAGGGGAUUGGGGAUUGAUGACCAAUGCACUUAUUUCAAGUUUUCACAAAACAGUAAACACUUAACACUAAGUAUAGAAGGCAGAAUCACAAAGAACAGAGAUAGCAAUCCUAUGCCUCAACUAACUUCUCCAGCAAGACCUUCCAAUUGCACUCCUACUAGUGUUGUUAUCUCAGAUUCCCAAGACUUCUUGAGCCUUUGGACAAAGACCAACCACAGUAGGUUUUGUUAGUGCAAGGUAAAUCAAGGGAAAAAUUAGGAGACUUUACUGUAAGGAUUAAUUACAGAAUGCAUGAAAGAUCUCACCAAUGAGUUUGAUAAAACUCAAUUUCCACCGGCCAAUGUGUACUGCAGGUUUCAGGAAUCAGGUUUAAUCAAGAAAUCACAAGGCUCCAGUAGUCCAGGUUGCUCUGGUACCACUAAAAAGUCGAAGGAUAAGAAUAUUAACCAAGAUUCCAAAAACACGAUCAAAAAUGAAAAUAAAGUGCAGGAAAUAAGAAUGAACACAAGGAUCUUUUGGCCGAAGCCCCAAAGAUUCGACGACCACUUCUAAUGCCUAAUCCCCUGUUGAGCAUCUAUUAAAAUGGAUAAAGCUCGGCUGCACUAUAAAGCCCCAAAAAUAAGCAGCAAAUAUACAAUAAUGUUCCAAAAUUAUUACAAGUAUCAAGUCACUAAGACUUAUCUUAUGAGAAUCAACACGACAGACACAAUUUCACAAAGAAAUCACUGACCAGAUUACACAACUAUUACAUCACAGUUUCUGCCAUCAAAGAAUCACCCAUCUUUUAAGAGAAAACACAAAAAUAAAUGGUAUUCCACCAAGGAACCAACCGAGAUCACCAAGAUCUAAAAAUCGAACUGCUCUUCUUUAAAAUCACUUCGCAUAAGACACAUAACACAGAAUAAAUCGUGCUCCAUGGAGGAAUGUAUGUAUCUAUAGCAUUACUCAAGUUUUCUGGUAAUAUUUUCAACAAAAAUCCUUCAAGAACCCAAACCCUAAUCACUAGAAGAAGAGGGAUUUUCUUUCGUAGCAGAGAAGUGAGAGAAGAGAGAGAGACUUUUUCUUUUCUUGAAAGUGAGACGUGAGAGAGAGAAAGUUAAUUGCUGGAAGAAAAGUCUUGCCUCAAUUAAUGUGUAUCUUUCAAAUAUCACGUGGUUAGGUAUAAGAAUCUAGAAUAGAUCCAAUG
rnacentral:lncRNA from 1 species